CCUUCGAACGUUAGAAAGGUCGCGUACCGCUCCAUUUGCUGGUCGAGAAUUUUUGCGGUAACUAGAACGAUUCUUCUGAGGAUUUGAAAUAUGUUGGAACCCAAAAGCGACCCCCAAACACCACAGAGGUACAGAAAGCCUCGGAAACAGUUUAACGUGGAACCAGUUCUUCCCGCCCGCUGGUGGGAGUUCUCUGGCUGCUAUUGGAGGACUGAGUUAUCAAUUUGAAGCUGGCGCUCCGAUAGGUGUUCGUGACCGCUGUUUCCAACAUUCUUGCAGUCACAGUCAAGCGUCUUUCAUACUCAUUUUAGUGCCCAUUUGAGGAUAUUUGAACAGAAUUAAGAGUGAUGCAUAGUACGACACGGAGAGCAGCUGUUUACAAAAACCUAGUGUUGCUGGCACGGGAACCAGAAGUGGGUGCUAUCCUGACAGAAGGGUGGCGCUGUAGUCAGGAUGCCCAGCGUGACCGGCGCCGAGAGGACGCUCACCGUGUAAUCAAAGACUAGCAUAAAAUCCCUUCUCAGUUGUUACUGAGACAAUGUUUCCUUUGUGCCUUCAGCAAAUGUAAAAAAAUCAAUUUCUAAAUACCAAAAAUUUCCUGAGAUGUUCAUUGUCACAAAUUUUGACUUUUUUUUUUUCCUGUUUAAUAUGUAAUGGGAACUGUUUGGUUUGUGUAAGAAAAAAACAAGCAAACAAAAAUCCAUGAUUUGGGAUAUCUAAGAGUUCUAUGGUUGGGUGUGGUGUUGCACAGCUGUAAUCCCAGCUCUCAGGAGGUUAAGAGAGGAGGAUCACCUUGAGUUCCAGGGCAGCCAGGUCUAUAUACUGAAUUCAAGGCCAGCUUGAGAUACAUAGUGAGACCCUGUCUCAAAAAAUAGAGUUCUAUCUUUCUAAGUUACAAGUUAAGUACACUUUAUAGGGCUAUAAAAAAAUUGCUUUUAUUACUUAUGCUUGAAAUAAGUGCAUUUUGUUUAAAAAUCAAUCUUAAAAAUCUUUUCAAAAUGAUGAGAUGUUUAAGACUAAAUGAAACAUUAUAGAUAUAGUUCCUUAAUAUUACCAAUAAAAUGAAGUACUAAAUUAGGUGUAACCAACUCUAUGUUUCUCCUUUUAAUAUUCUCUUUGAUGUACUAAGUAAAAUGUGUGAAUAUAGUGAUGAUCACACAGGCAAAAAAAGCAGAAUUAUCUAUUUUAAUGCUUUUCAUUAACUGGCAUUUUAAUGACAUUUUCCUUUUGCCUUCUAUUUUGUUUUGUUUUGAUCUAUUUUGUAUCAGUGGUCUAGCUGGGAUGUUAAAUGUCAUGUGACUAAGAAUUAAAAAGAAACUAUCAAAGUUUCCACGGAGGUUUAAGAUACGAAGACUGUUCUGUGGUUAGCAGUGUUAAUUGAGUGAUAAGUCAAUGGACUGAAUUAUGGGCAGUUUUGUCUGAUCUGUAUUAACCUAAAUAUAAGUUUUCAUUCAGUAGACUUGUGGAAGUUUCCAGAGUGAUCUCUUUCAUUUCAUGUGCAGGGUAUUUGUAUAUGUAUACAGACAUUUUUGUUUUCUUUUUCUGUUGGAUGCAUACCAAAAGGUUAAAUGGCUGAUUCCUAUGGUAACUAUUAACAUUUGGGGUGAGUGUGCUGAGGAUUGAUCCCAGGUCCCUGCCCAUGCUAAACACAGUCUCUACCACUGAAAUAGAUACCCACUCCUAAAUGUUCUCUUUCUCUCUCUUUUGGUAUUGAGAACCAAACCCAAGUACACUCUACCACUGGUCCCCAGCCUCUUAAAAUUUUUAUUUUGAGAUAGAGCCUCAAGAAUUUACACAGGUGGGGCUCCAACUUGAGGUCUUCCUGCCUCAGGCUCCCCCCAGUGCUGGAUUACAGGCUUGUGUCACCAUACCCAGCUAAGUGUUCCAUUUUAAAGACAAAGUACUUUAAUUUAUUGAGAAUUUAAAAGUCCACAUUGAAGCAGGCACAAUUACUGCUUUUAAUGCUAUGAAUGCCUAGGUAGACUUUUUUUUUUCCCCUUGAGAUAGGGUCUCACUAUGUGGUCCAAGCGUGCCUUCAACUCACUGUGUAGCCCAGGCUGGCCUCAAACUCACAGCAAUCCUCCUGCCUCAGCCUCCUGAGUGCUGGGAUUCAGACAUGUACCACUAUGCCCAGCUGCUGAGUCAUUUUUAUAUCAUCUAUUGGGCAGUAAUUUAAGGAAAGACCUCAGAGUGAAAUAAAUACAAAGUGACCCAAAAUGGGAGGUGAGCAUUAGAACACCUGUUAGUGUAUACUUUUUAAUAUAAACUAUUUUUGUUUUUUAAAAAUCACACAUAACAAUAUAAAGCUUUUAAUAUAUGUAUAAAGCAUAUUGGUAAAUAUAAAUAUGUCUACUGAGAGUCGUAUAAGGAAAAAAAUCUACUGAGGUUAAUAAGUUUAGGACAAGACAACUGCAGUUUAAAAUAAAAAUCUUGGGGAAAGAGGUCACAGAAGAAGACAUAGAUGUUUUUAUAAUCAUUUAAUCAGAAGGAAAAUUACUGGGACAUAGUGAUCUAGGCGUAUAACUCCAGCAUUCAGGAAGUUGAGGCAGGAGGACCACAAAUUCAAGAACAGUCUCCAUCAUAUAGUGAGAUUUUUGUCUCAAAAAACAAAGCAAGAAACGCUGAAUUUUCAUUAGAAAGGAAAGAGGCUGAAUGCUUGUUGGUUUUGGUUUUGGUUUUUGGCCCAGGCUGUUCCUGCCUCAGCCUCUCAGAGUGCUGGAGUCAUUACUGGGUUUGGGGUGUUGGAGUCCCGUUCUGGAGGUGGUUUCUAGGUUCUUUCUGACCUGCACAAAGAACUGGUCAAGACAAGGACAAACUGUAGCGGAGUUUUACAUGAAUGACAGGAUAAUAAACAGGCUCUGCAGAGCAAAGAUGGGCCAAGUAAAAGUGGAAAAAUACUCCCCACAGCUCCUGCCCCUGGGGAGGGCUAUGGUGUGAGGCAGGACACAGCGGCAGGCCUCAUGCUCAGUGAGGACUGUCCUUUUGGUUUUUUUGUUUUUUUAUUCGUACCGGGGAUCAAACUCACAACCAUGUGCUUGCAAGGCAGGCACUUAUGCCGCUGAGCUAAAUCCCCAGAACUACCCUUUUGUAUCCCCUACUCCCCAGGUCGGCUCAGGUCCAGGCCAUCUUAUUGGAAAACCUGUGAGAUCUCCCAGAAGCACAGUGGAGGCUUUGGGGCCUGCUCUGCACCUGUGUCCUGGGAUUUUGUAAUUAACAGGCCAUGCCUACCUCCCCAGCCAGCCUGCUCUGCCCUGGACCUCAGGAUUAUAAGCAUGUGCCACUGCACCUCAACUCUGAGUGCUGUUCUUAAAUUGAACUUGUCAGUAAAGAGGUGCCAGAAGUUUUUGUUUGUUUUGAAAGCAGUUUUUAUAGCUGGAGACUGAGGUAGGGAGCACUAAGCUACAGCCCCCAGCCCUUUUCAUUUUAUUGUGAGGUAGGUUGAUAAAUUGCCCAAGAUGGUGUCAAACUCGUAAUCUUUUUGCCUCAACCUCCCAAGUAGAUGGGAUUACAGAUGUGGACUAUGAAACCUGGCUCUCAAGUUUAAGAAACAAUUUUAAACUGUAGUAUAAAGGGUUUAAAUCAUAGUUUAAGAAACUAUUUACGAGUACAAAUCAUAUAUGAUAUGCAACAUAAACACCACAAAGAAAAUAUACAAUAUACAAUAAAGCUUCAGUUGUACAGAGUGCUACUUGUAAGUUCUCGUGCUCAGUGACCGUGUCAGGGCUCAACCAGAGAACAGAACUAAUAGAGAUACUUGAAGAGCUUUUUCUUCCUGUGCGAAGAAUUGCUCGCACAGUUGUUGGGGGCUGGUCAGGCAGGUCUGAAGUCUGUAGACCAAGCCAUUGGGAAAGGCAGGCUGGAAUUCUCAGGAAGAGUGCUGUCGUCCAAGAAUUUCCUUGGCAAACCUGCUCAGCUCUAAGGGUCUUUCAACUGACUAAAUCAGCCCCACUCAGACUAUCUAGGAUAAUUUCCUGCACUUAGUCUAUUCAUUAUGGAGGGGGGUGGGAGGUGGAGAUUGAACCCAUUCUCUUUUUUGUUGUUUUGGUUUGGUUUUGGUUUUAGUUUUUUUGAGACAGGGUCUCAAAUUUGAGAUCUUUCUUCCCCAACCUCCCAGAGUGCUGGGAUUAUAAGCAUGUACCACCACACCAGGUCUAAUUAUGAAAUCUUUUCACCUGUAUAAAAUACCUUCCCAGCAAUACAUGUCUUAGUGUAUAAAUAACAGAAGACUAAAAUUUAGGUACAUAGAUAACUGCUUCUCAAGUUAAAAACUGAUCAUGACAACCACAUCUGUAUAACUUCAGAUCAGUCAUCCCAGCAUGAGAUUUGAGAGUCAAAAUUUGUUCCAGAAAACUGUAUUUGAGAUUUGUUUGUUUGGUUUUUGUCUUUUUUCAGACAGUGUCUUGAUGUGCAUUCAGGCUGGCCUGGAGUGCACUUUGUAACCCAGGCUGGUCUCGAAUUUGCAAGGGUCCUCCUACCUCAGCCUCCCACGUGCUGGGAUUACAGAAGUGCGCCACCACUGCCAACUCUUGUAUUUGAGAUUUUGUCUUCCGUUCGUGGGAGUGGGUUAGUCUAAGCAUAUAAAGCAUUCAGGCCAA